UACAGAGGGUGCGAGCGUUGUUCGGAAUUAUUGGGCGUAAAGGGCGCGUAGGCGGUGCGGUAAGUCACCUGUGAAACCUCUGGGCUUAACUCAGAGCCUGCAGGCGAAACUGCCGUGCUGGAGGGUGGGAGAGGUGCGUGGAAUUGCAGGUGUAGCGGUGAAAUGCGUAGAUAUCUGCAGGAACACCCGUGGCGAAAGCGGCGCGCUGGACCACUACUGACGCUGAGGAACGAAAGCUAGGGGAGCAAACAG
rnacentral:rRNA from 1 species